GAACAUACUUUAAAGAACAUACACAGUGGCCAGCAUUCAUGACAUCUUGCUGUGGAUUAGGUGUAGGCAACGAUAACAUUUCUUACACGGUAUUUCCACAACACACACGCCUAAAGGCAAGUGUACGAAGAUACCGAAUACAAAGGAUCUUAAAGUGGAUGUUAUCACUAUCUACAGUUAUUUGGUUUAAGGCUAUGUUUUAACAAAAGUUGACACGGACCUAUAGUUACCAUACUUUGCACAUAUUGUCUUUGUGGUGGUUGUAAAAGGAAUAUUUACACCAAGUUCUAUCUGGCGUGGAGAUUUCCGUAAGGUGAGGUCAUCAUCAACCACGAUAACUGUUGUUUCAUUGUGUGAAACUAUACAUCCGCCAUCAUUGGAAAAAUCAAACUGAAAAUAUAUCAAUGCAACGUAUGAGGAUUAUAUUAAUCGGAUAUUUCGACUUGGAUUAUAGCAGAUUAUUGAUAUGUUGUAGUUUUUGAAUACAUACAGACAAACAAAGCAUAGCAAUGAGUUCUUGCACGGAGUUAGUCUUAGGUAGUGGUAUAGAAGCCAGUAGUACAAAUAGAACAAAUGGUGCCGAUAUCAUUUUAACGUGUGCAGAUUUUGCUCACCGUGUAGUUGGUAACAGUAGUGUAACAUGUAAGGCUGGUACAUGGAGUGUUGAUACUUCUAAACUAAAAUGUGAAUGGAGUUGGGAUUUUUCAACACACGAAAAAUUAGUAUUUGGUACAUCAAUAGCGGCUGUUGGCUUUAUAAUAUUAAUGAUUAUUGUAAUAGUUAUAGCAUAUUGUGUUUGCUAUAGAAGACGAAACGAAGACGAUAAGAGUGGUUUUGAUGAUAAUGUUAGUCCACAUUUAAAGAAUGAAAACUAUGAUCACUAUGGUAAUGCAGUAUCUGUAGGCAGCACCGAUCCUUCUAAUAAUGCAUAUUAUGCUUAUCAAGAGCAUCCAGAAAGCCCUAAACAUAAUAAUUGGGGCUAUGAUAACUGGGGACACGAUGCGCCGACGUCUGAUGUUUCUGGUAUAAAUAAACCAUGGAUGGGAUAUAUACCUCGGCCAAAGAUAGCAGAUAAUAAUAGAACAUAUUACAAUAGCUAACAAGUCUAAUUCGAAUACAAGUCACGAGGAAAGCAGUUCUGUUGUUCCUGUUCAUUAAACCAUUCACAGUUUAAAAACUAAAACGCUUAUUUUUGAGCAUUCGUUUUGCCAAAUAAAGUUAACUGAAUACAUUUGAAUGAAAAACUAAAGGGCAAGAACUCUAUGUAGGAGUAGGGAUGGGACAGAAUAACAAACAAAAAUCUGCAGGGGUGUUUCUUAGGCGAAAUUGAUUGAAAAAAAAAACCAUUUUGGCAAAAUUUUUGUUCUAUCUCGAAUUUUUCGCUGGGGUAAUUGGCAUUUUUCAAAAUGGCGGCCAAAAAUGUAUUUUUCGAGAGUUUUGUCCUCGAAUGGGCAAGAUAUGUGUUUCAAUAUGUCUUUUAAUAGGUUUUCGAGUAUGCCGAGUUCCAAAAAUUAUACUCCGACGUGUGUCGAGCAAUGACGGCCAUCUUGAAUCCAAUAUGGCCGCCAUUUUGGCCAAAAAUGAUUUUUUUUUAAAUUUUAUUGUCGCAUGCGGUCAGAUGUGUCCAAUAUGGCCGCCAAAAUUAGUACUAAACAGUCAAUAACAAUAUCAUAAAGCAACAUAUAACACAACUAAAUAGUAUAUCAUUAUACUAUAUACUAUGGCUAAUUAUGCGUUUUGUAGUGCAUCUAGUCAGUUCAAUGGUGAAUCCAGUCUAAAGAACGAGUUUGAGUAAUGUAGUAAUGCUGGUAAUGUAGCAAUGUAGUGCAUCUAGUCAGUUCAAUAGUGAAUCCAGUCUAAACAACUACAUGUAGUCAGUUUAAAGAACGAGUUUGAGAAAUGUAUCCACAUCUCCAAGAUGGCUGCAGUUGCUCGAAACGCGUUGGAGUAUAAUUUGUUGAACUUGGCAUACUCGAAAACAUAUUAAAAGGCAUAUUGGACCACAUAUUAGAUCCAAGAUGGCCGCCAUUAUUGGAACCACUUUGGAAUAUAAUAUUUUGAACUCAGCAUACUCGAAAACCUAUUAAAAGAACAUGUUGGAACACAUAUCUUGCCCAUUCGAGGACAAAACUCUCGAAAAAUACAUUUUUGGCCGCCAUUUUAAAAAAUGCCAAUUACCCGAGCGAAAAAAUCGAGAUAGAACAAAGAUUUUGCCAAAAUCGUUUUGUUUUAAUCAAUUUCGCCUAAGACUGAAGAAUUUUCAGAUGGUAGAAAAGUGCACUUGGUCCCAUCCCUAGUAGGAGCUUUGGAAAGUUUUGUGAAAAAAGAUUUCAGUGAAAUAAACUGGAAUUGAAAUUAUGAUAAAACACUUUGCAGGGACAGAUAUAUUGCUACGUUAGAGUAGAUUAAUUUUGCUAAAUUUCACGAACUAACCAUAUUUCGAACUAAUCUAUGUUGAUUCUUAUUUAAACGAAUCUUAGUUCAUAUUAUGGUAGUCUAAUAUUAAUCUUCAUGUGUAUAGUGUGUAUUGAAUUACUAAUUAGUGUUGAAAUAUUAAUUUAGUGUUAGUUCAUCUAUAAAUAAUUAUCAGAACCUUGUACAGAUGCUACACAUUGAAUAAUUGAAUAAUUUUACCAUUAUCAUGAAUUAGACUAUUACAUUAAUUAUGUAUUCAAUACAUCUACAUUACAAUAUAUAUUAAUAUGCUAUAUACCAAUAACAAGCAUCUACAUGUAUAAAUAUUUCAUGUAAAAUAGUGUAAAUAACAUAAUGAAAAAUAUAACUUGCAUCUAUUUUUAACUUGUAUUUUUGUGAUUUCAUUUUAUUUUGUACGUGCUUUAGAUAAAAUAAAG